GGGAAUCUUCCACAAUGGACGCAAGUCUGAUGGAGCAACGCCGCGUGAGUGAAGAAGGGUUUCGGCUCGUAAAGCUCUGUUGUUGGUGAAGAAGGACAGGGGUAGUAACUGACCUUUGUUUGACGGUAAUCAAUUAGAAAGUCACGGCUAUCUACGUGCCAGCAGCCGCGGUAAUACGUAGGUGGCAAGCGUUGUCCGGAUUUAUUGGGCGUAAAGCGAGUGCAGGCGGCUCGAUAAGUCUGAUGUGAAAGCCUUCGGCUCAACCGGAGAAUUGCAUCAGAAACUGUCGAGCUUGAGUACAGAAGAGGAGAGUGGAACUCCAUGUGUAGCGGUGAAAUGCGUAGAUAUAUGGAAGAACACCGGUGGCGAAGGCGGCUCUCUGGUCUGUUACUGACGCUGAGGCUCGAAAGCAUGGGUAGCGAA
rnacentral:rRNA from 1 species